GGCACAAAGAAAGACAUCCUCAGGUGGUAUAUUCGCCUUUCCCUCCCAGUUGCUGUGUGACGAAAUUAACUAUGAGGAGGGACACUUUAUCCAGCUCAAAUUCCAAUCCAUCCCUGCAGGGAAGUCAAGGAGGCAAGAACUUGAAGCUGCUGGUCACAGCCAGUCAAGAGCAGAGAGAGAGUGAGGCAUGAAUGCUGUGCUCAGCUUACUGCCUCCGUUUCCCUGGUCCAGGACUCGAACCCAGGGAAGGGCGCCACCCACUUCUUUCUUUUUUCUUUGUGUUUUUCAGACAGUAUCUCUCUCUGUGGCCCUGACUGUCUAGUAACUCUUUAUGUAGAACUGGCUGUCCUAAAACUCACAGAGAUCCACCUGCCUUUGCCUCCCAAGGGUUGGGAUUAAAGGCAUGUGCUACUAUGCUCGGCUGGUGCCACCCACUUUUAAACUGGGUCUUCCCAUGUCGAUUAACGUAAUCAAGACUGUCCAGCGCAGAUGCACCACAGUCCAACCUGAUCUAGACAGUUACUCAGUGAAAUUCCUUCCCUGGUGAUUCUAUUCAAGUUGACACAACCAAAACUAACCAUUACAACUGGCCUUUGGAUAAGAGGGAAGUAAUGAGCAAUGAGUCAUCUCCACUGUCUUUGAGCAUCCAUGGGGGGCCUGGUCACACUAAGCAAAGAGCUGAGCUUGCCUGCCUAAUGAUCGGAGCUGUUUUCCUCACUGCAUAGAGCCACAGAAGGUUCAGCCAGGACCUCUGGAGCUGCCCGAGACGUCAGGAAAUAGUGCCUCCAUCUCCCUGAGCUUUGCAUGAACACCCUUCGGCCCUGCCUAGGGAACAGCACUAGGCCAGGGUAGGGGAUUGCUUCUACUGUCGUGUUUCCCAUCCCGUAAUCUGAGCCUGGACAGUGCCCAGACUUGCAGGAUGUCUGGCUUUGUGUUUCUCUUUGAGAGCUGGCCCUGGCCACAGUUAGAACUCUGCUGCUCCCAUCUGGCCAAAUGUGAUUUUUCCAGGCCUUUGACCAAAGGGCCCUGAGAAGGGAACAAACAACCUGCCGGUUAAUCAUAACUCCCAGCCUGCAGGGUCCUGGGUGUAGAAGGACUCACUGCCAGGUAUUACUUGGAAGAUCCUAGCUGCUCAGGAUAGUAGGCACGAGGAGGAGGCGGCGGCGACAGAGCCACUCAGAGUAGGGCCGGAGAGAAGCAGACCACUCCCUCCUGGCCCUCCCCCACCUCCUGGGAAACUGACCCCUUAGCUCUCAAGGUCGCCACCCACUGUGGCUGUCAGCCUCGGAGGACUUUAUGGAAGGCAACCAUGGGGAACCUUGCCCUCCCUUACCCAUUCCACCCUUGUUCCCUGGCCUGUUCACACGAGCUGGGUCGACAGCGGUCCCAGACUAUGUCUGAGCCCCCAGGAUGAUCAGGCCCAACGCUGUAGCCUCAGUCACGGAGGUUCUAAACUGCAAAUGCGUGGCUGAAGGAGGAACUUGGGAGAGGCCCCUAAUACUCUCUAGACAAAUCCUGGUCACAUACCAGUGCCCCCACAGCCCAGCGGGAUGCUUCUCCCUCCCUGUUCUUCACCUCUCCAUUUCUGCUGGAAUCCUUUGUGUGGCUCCUUUUCCCUGGAGGAAGGAAGCCUGGCUCCCCCCUAUCUGUUGAUCUCCGUGGCAACAAGAUGCCAGGAAAGGCAGGUUUGUCCCUUAUUGAGUGUGAGUCGCUGAGGGCCCUGACCUCCAUACUACGGGCUUUCCCUGAAGGAAGAAGCUCCAUAGCUUUCCAGCCACCAAGACCUUUGUGCCCUCGGUGAAAGGGGAGGCCCUGGCAAGGCCUCCUGGGCUCACUUUGGGGCUCGGUCCCCCUGGCGGCCCUCUUGAUACAGAGCAGUUAACAUACUCACCAUUCUCUGCAUAUUGGCUGCGGGAGGCUGGACCUGACUGCGCAGGCGGUUGUGCAGGGAGAGGAUCAGGAAACUCUCCUUCCUGCUCAGGGCUGGAGGCCAGGAGAGAAGAUCAGGCCGACGACGACGGCACCUGGGACAUCUCCACAGCCAGUCAUCUUCAGACACUUAGGAUCCAGAGUACACUCUACCCAAAGGGAGAUUCACAUGCUUCAUUUAAUAAAGAAAAAGGGAGGAGAUGCUGGUGGCCCUGCCAGAGGAGCAGCAGGUAACAAUUGAAGUUGGAGGUGUCAGACCACUGGGAGGCAAAUCCCUGAUGGAUGAAUCUCGGAUAGGCAAGACCCUGAGACCACAGACUCCAGAAUGUCUUUGCUUCUGCUUGCCUUCACAUGUUGGUUGCUGCAACCUUUCUCUGUAUCUGGAAUGAUGUGAAUGUGUGUGGGGGAGAUUACCCACUACCUGUAAUGUAGUGUGUUUAUCUUAUGGAAAUAUCCCAUUCUACUGAGCAUUUUUAUCUGUGGAUUAUGAUGAAGAUGAUUUCUUCUUAAGCUGUAGUGUCUAAUUGAUAAUAAUAAUGUUAGUUUAAAUAGAGUUUUGGUGAUUAAAAAUAUAUACAAGGAAAUGUCACACAGCUAGGAACUCUGAGUUUCACCUAAGGAGCUGCAUAGAUCUCAGUUCAGGUUGAUGAUUAAGGAAAACAAUUGAGUACCAGGAGCCAGGUCGGCUUGAAUUAUUUUAUUCUUAAUGUUAAAAGAUGCAUUCACAUUGCUUCUCGGCCUUUUGGCUAAGAUCAAGUGUAGUAUCUGUUCUUAUCAGUUUAAUAUCUAAAAAAUUUUUUUUAAAAGAUGCAUUCAGGGGCUGGAGAGAUGGCUCAGAGGUUAAGAGCACUGGCUUCUCUUCCAAACGUUCUGAGUUCAAUUCACGGCACCCACAUGGUAGCUCACAACCAUCUGUAAUGAGAUCUGGUGCCCUCUUCUGGCCUGCAGGCAUACUGUAUACAUAACAAGAUGCAUUCACAGGUUUUGGUGUGCAUCAUAGCUGAAAAAAAGCCUUAAAAUAACUUCAGGUUAGAUCAGAUGUUUUGAUAAUGGUUUUGAGAUGAAAAACCCUAGAAAACAAUCUACAGUUCACAAGGACACGUAGCUGAGCUAUAGAUUCAUUAGGUUAGGGUCAAAAACACAAAGCAGCCCAACUGUUACUAACUGAUGUACUUUCCUUGCUAGGAUUGAUUGGUGAUCAAGGAAAAUGAUUAUUUCUUUGUUCCCAUUUCUGCCCUCAAUCUCCUGUUAUAAAAACUGUUGAUGAGUAGGUAUGUACCCCAAAGGUUUAAAGUAGAGUUGACUGUUUUCCACUUAUAAAAGUUUAGGUUUCUGAUUCCUUAUAAUAUUACCUUUCAAGAUAAAUAAUAAAGUGAUUGUUCCUUUCUUUGUAACCUCAAAGAAUAGUCUGCCAGUAAAAGAACUGGCUGAGAAAAUACCCUGUUUGCUUAUACUCUGUUAAUCUAUAGCAAGUUGCUUGGGUAUGAAUGUGCUUGGGUUCUUGGAGAUAAUUUGAUUUUCACCUGUAAUAUGUAAAAUGUUUAAUCAUGUAAGGGAUAACAGGCUGUUAUUUUCUUGUAUUCAUUGUAAUCAUUCACUUGAAAAACAGAAUGUAAGCACAUUGUAACUUCUAUAUUGCCUGAAAGAUUGUCUUGGGGUAUACAAGCAACAGAGGAAAAAUAGAGAGGAAGAAUAAGGAAGAAUAAAGAUAGAGUUAGAAGGAAACCAUCAAAUAGGAGAGAAUUAGGAGGAAAACAUCAAGAGAGACAUAAGGAACAUUUCUGGAUAAAGAUGAAAGAGAAAGGAGAAUACAGAAGAAGAAUUCAGAAGGAAACCAUCAAGAGAGAGUGUGUGUCUUUUCCCUUACCCCUCAGAUAAAAAAGUCACAGCACACGACUCUGUGAUUUCCCUUCGAGUCCUGAGCUGCUGGAGGCUGGCCCCCCAGGCAGUGAAACUGCACAAAGUGUAGUAGUAUCUUGUUAUGGCAUCCCUAACAAACAAAUACGGUACUUACAAAAACUUCAGCUGGUGUAGCAGGGGGGACUAAAGUGUUUCCUUUCUAAGAUCAGAAAGAGGGGCAGGCUCUUAGGAUGAGGAGGCAAGAGAAUUCUGAGUUCAAGACCAGCAAUACCUACAUGAGACCUGGUCUUAAAAAAACAAAAAGCAGGGGCUGGGAAGAUGGCCCAGUGGUGCAGUGGAAUGAUUUUUUUUUUUUUUUUUUUGGGCGCCUUUCCUGGAUCUCACUCUGUAGACCAGGCUGGCCUCGAACUCACAGAGAUCUGCCUGCCUCUUGCCUCCCGAGUGCUGGGAUUAAAGGCAUGCGCCACCACCGCCCCGCGGAAUAAACUUUUUGUACAUUGUGAA